UACGGGGGGGGUAAGCGUUGUUCGGAAUCACUGGGCGUAAAGCGCACGUAGGCGGACUUUCAAGUCAGGGGUGAAAUCCCGGGGCUCAACCUCGGAACUGCCUUUGAUACUGUUGGUCUUGAGUUCGGGAGAGGUGAGUGGAACUGCGAGUGUAGAGGUGAAAUUCGUAGAUAUUCGCAAGAACACCAGUGGCGAAGGCGGCUCACUGGCCCGAUACUGACGCUGAGGCACGAAAGCGUGGGGAGCAAACAGG
rnacentral:rRNA from 1 species